UACAGAGGGGGCAAGCGUUGUUCGGAAUUACUGGGCGUAAAGGGCGCGUAGGCGGCCUGUUAAGUCGAACGUGAAAUCCCCGGGCUCAACCCGGGAACUGCGUCCGAUACUGGCAGGCUUGAAUCCGGGAGAAGGAUGCGGAAUUCCAGGUGUAGCGGCGAAAUGCGUAGAUAUCUGGAGGAACACCGGUGGCGAAGGCGACAUCCUGGACCGGUAUUGACGCUGAGGCGCGAAAGCCAGGGGAGCAAACGGG
rnacentral:rRNA from 1 species